UUCUCCUACGGGGGGCAGCAGUGAGGAAUAUUGGUCAAUGGGCGGAAGCCUGAACCAGCCAAGUCGCGUGAGGGAAUAAGGCCCUACGGGUCGUAAACCUCUUUUGCCGGGGAGCAAAAAGCGGUACGUGUACCGCAUCGAGAGUACCCGGAGAAAAAGCAUCGGCUAACUCCGUGCCAGCAGCCGCGGUAAUACGGAGGAUGCGAGCGUUAUCCGGAUUUAUUGGGUUUAAAGGGUGCGCAGGCGGCGAGUUAAGUCAGCGGUAAAAUUUCGGGGCUCAACCCCGACAAGCCGUUGAAACUGGC
rnacentral:rRNA from 1 species